rnacentral:rRNA from 1 species
AGAAUCAACGCUGGCGGCGUGCCUAACACAUGCAAGUCGCACGAGAAAGUGGAGCAAUCCACGAGUACAGUGGCGCACGGGUGAGUAACACGUGACUUAUCUACCUCCGAGUGGGGAAUAACCUAGAGAAAUCUGGGCUAAUACCGCAUAACACUUACGAGUCAAAGCAGCAAUGCGCUUGGAGAGGAGGUCGCGGCCGAUUAGCUAGUUGGCGGGGUAAUGGCCCACCAAGGCGAUGAUCGGGUA